rnacentral:lncRNA from 1 species
CAAAAAGAAAAGUUACACUAUAUUCAGGAACAAAUUUGUACCAGCAGAACGUAAUAGAAACAAAUUUAGAGGAAUCUAAAUGUAAUGCAAAAGAACACUGGGAGUUAGAUUUUAGAAAUUUGAUAUAUAAUUGAAUACUUUCCAGCUAUAGCUCAUUCCAGAUGUUCACAAGACAAACUACAGUUUUCAAGGGCAGAAAGAAAAGAAAAAUACUCAUUUUUCAGCAGCAUAAUGCAUAAGUCUUCCAUGUAUUCCUCCUCAUUUACUUAUGUUUCAUCCCUAAACCUUCUAUAUGAUAUUAGUCUUGUAGUAAUCCGUAGCCCUCAAUAAUAAGAUCAAAAUAACGUGUGCUUAAAACAUAUAACUAUAUUAUCCACGCAAGUAGGAUAAAAGAAAGCAUGUAUCAUUGCUUCCCAAUACGGCAAUACAAGCCAAUUUUUCUUUGAGCAUUGAUUUUGUAAUCUCAUUCUUACAUUAAGCGUGACUUUCAACUUCCAUUUGAAAUAUGACUUUUGUGGUCAUUCAUCAAACUCCUCCAUUUAAAUUUACAUUCUCUGCAUUCUGCUUGGUAAACCUCAGUCACACUUUCAUCAAAACUUCCAGGUAUACUAUAAUUUUUGGAGCUAUGUACCCUCAAAAAAAGUCUUCAAACAAAUAUAUUAUUCUUUACCAUCAAAAGGAAGCUAAAACUUCUAACUAAAUGAUUACGAGAACACACACUCUGCAACCUCAUGACAAAAGAAUGCAGACCCUCAAAACCAUUUCAGAUUUUUUUUAUCCUCCUCAUUCAUCUCGUGUGUAUAUGCUCCUAAUAUAUUCAGAGCUACAUUGAACAGGUUCAGAAUUAGGAAUAAAUAGUUAUAUCCAUAAAGUCACAAAAUAUUUAUCAAGAAAUAAAAUAAAGAUAAAUAUUUAAUUAUGGACUACUUAUGAUAGAAGAAUGGUAUCGGAUAAUAAACAAUGCAGCGGAUGACAGAGUAGUUAUUUUCCCUAGCCACUUGCAUAAUGGCAUAUAAAAUCAGACAAUAUACUUCAUUUAUUUAUUUAUUUGCGCCAUCUGAUAGAUCUUUUUGAGCAAAAAAUUGCAAACCAAGUACAUGUAAUAAUCAUGGCCCUAGGACAUCGUGACAUUAUCAAGCCAUAUUUUUCAGAAUAAACUCCAUAUUACUCCACAUAUUUAGAAAAAAAUUCUAUAUCUUAUGUUAUAAGCUGGAUAGUGGUAAUCCGAAUUUUCUUUGGAAUGUUGUAGAAUAGGCAAUUGAGCAGUAUGAAGAAUGAAGUUCUAUGAGGAAACGCAAGACUCAUGAAAAACAAUUAUAAAGGAAAACCAAAGAUGAAAACUCCAGUUGAAAUGAACUUCAGUGCAAAUUCUUUAUUUAGGAAGGUAUAGACCAGGAUUAUACAGCAUGAUUAUGAAAUAGGAUGCAUGAAUUUAUUAAAAAAUUAAAGUCAAACAUUAAGUUGUUUGCUUCAUAUGCCAACAAACGAAAAGAUUCUUUGAAAGUCCAUAGGAAAACAAAAAAAGGCUAAAGAAGUAUCGAAGAUUGACUCAUUAUAUUUAGGCUUAGCAUUAUAUGGCAUCACAAUCUGAUGCCUUCGAAUAGAAGAAGCUGAGAAUGAUCUAGUGACAGAAAGCAUCCAAUAGAGACACCGCAAAGAAAAAUAUAAGUUAGAAAAUGCGAGCCAAAAUUGUUCUUAUCUGCAAGCCAGAAAGAAUAAAAUCUAAUGGAGCCAUAUGCAUAACUCCAAUAGUACCGAAAGUAAUUAAAUAGAAGUAGAUCUCGAUACAAGAAGUUUACUAAAAAAGAAAGAGUGAAGAAGGAAGACAUUACCAAUUAAUGAUGAUAGAGGCUGAUGUUUUGCUCCAGUUACACAAAAAAAAUUCGCUUCCAAUUUUUAAGCGAAUCUGCAAGAAAGUGAAGCCAAGUGACCAAAAGAUUGAAAUUUUGGUGACGACAUAUAGUGAAAACACAGUCCAACAUCGUUUUCCCUAUUAAAAUAUGAAGAGAGCAAAAAAUGAAGAAUAUUAUACAGCCAAACCUCUCUAUAACAGCCUAAUUCGUUCCGAAUUGUUUUGGCUACUAUAGUGAUGUGCUGUUAUAGAGGACAUAUAUUAUAACAUAUUAUAAUAUUCGGUUCCGAGAAUAACUCGGGUUUUAUAUUUGAAGCAGAUAUUUUGGAUCAAAAUUUCUAAAUAUUCUACAAAAAUGUCUGAUAAACUAACUAUAGAAGGAGUAAAACAUCUCAUUAAUUCAAGCAUUGUUCUUGAUUGACCAUACUGCAAGGUUUAUAAUAUAUAAACCUGACAAAAAAUGUUUCAAGGAAAUUUAAAUGGGGACUACCGAAGAGUUUGAAUAAUAAAUUAUCAGUGAUAAUUAUUAUGCUCCUAUCAAAUUAUUUAACUCUUCCACAGACAAUUCUAAUUAGCAAAAAAUCAAUCUUUAAUCGAGCAAAUAUAUAUAUAUUUUUGGUUAUGAGAAAUCCAACUUAAGCCAAUACACAAAUUGCCAAAACGUAAUAAUUGGUGAAAAGGGUGCCGUUUGCACAUUGCAUAUACCAUGAAACGAAUAAAUAGAAAAAGAGUGUACCUUCUCGAAAUCUAUUGAAGGAUCCAUGGUGCAACCUAAUUGUGGCUUUUCGCUAUUGCUGGUCCUUUUUAUGUUCUCCUUUGCUAUUCAAUGAUGAUUAUAAUGAACGUUAGUAUGCCUUGAAUUUUAAGCAUUAUUCCGUAGGUUCAUCGCUAAUUACAGAUCUUUAAUCGAAGAGAGGGAAGAGAGAUUAAUGUUCGAAAUUGCCAUAAUAAUUAAUGAAAGGAAAAAGACACGGUUUGGUUGAAUUUGAUCGGCUGCCAUUAUCAAUGAAGGAAGUAGAAACGAUUUGUUUAAGAAGGUUAAUCGGUGGCUUUUCUUUGGGUUUUAUUGGUUAAUUAAUGAGGU